CCUCGAGUCGAGCGGAAGGGCAUGUGAAGCAUUCUUAAGCAUUAGGUAAGGUUAUGUGUCAUUUAUCUGAAGGCCAAGCACAAUGAAAUGAUGUUUUGAUGCCUUUAUGAGAAUAAAAAAAUCCAUGUCUCAAACUAAUAUUUAUAGAUUUUGUCAGUUGCAUUUAAUGUGUUAGUGUUAUGAAAUAUAACAUGGCAAGGGAGUACCUUUGGUGGGCUCAUGCAAGGUGUGCCCCUGAGAAAUUAUACCAUGCAACAGACCUGGUAUAAAAUGGAUUUAUUGGGGGAGGGGAGAAGAGUGAGGAACUGGGGAAGGGAUAGAGGCAGACAGACAGAAGAAGCAAAGUCAUUCGGUCAGAAAAAGUAGGGCAGAGAACAGAUAGAGGGGAAGCUGAGAACAAAGACAGAGACAGAGAGCUCAGAAACAAGAACAAUGGGAACAGAGAGAAGGGGCUGGGCCUGGAACAGUGAGAUGGGGCUAAUCAGUUCUUUUAUCCUGCCUCACAGUUAGCAGUCUAGUUUGUUUCAAGAAACAAAUAUACUUUCUGUCAAUGAAUUCUGUAAGUGAACAGGAAAUAUUUUCAUCUCUCAGAGCUGACAGUGUUAAUUUUAUAGUGUUUAUAGGAGAUUUUUUGGGACUAUUUUCUUAAGAACAGUGUAAGCCAGGUAUGUUGUCACAUUCCUGUAUAGCACCUACAUGGAAUGCUGAACCAAAACAUUCUAGACCUUACUAGACAUACAAAAAAAUACUAAGUGCCUGUCUCAAAAAUAAAAUAAAUGAAAUAAAACCAAACCAAUGUGCCUUCUAUAUUUGUAACUUGUACCUUCGGGAACUAAUAAGAUAAUGAAUCAAAAAUAAAUUUCAAUUAUCCUUAUGAAUAAAAAUAAUUAGAAAUGUUAAGAAGGUUAAAAAAAUCACUACAGGGAGGGGGAGGGGUCCUGG
rnacentral:lncRNA from 1 species